CGCAGAGUAGAGCAGUUGGUAGCUCGUCGGGCUCAUAACCCGAAGGCCGUUCGUUCGAGUCGAACCUCUGCUA
rnacentral:tRNA from 1 species